rnacentral:rRNA from 1 species
GACGAACGCUGGCGGCGUGCUUAACACAUGCAAGUCGAACGGAAAGACCCUGCUUUUGUGGGGUGCUCGAGUGGCGAACGGGUGAGUAACACGUGAGUAACCUGCCCUUGACUUUGGGAUAACUUCAGGAAACUGGGGCUAAUACCGGAUAGGAGCUCCUGCUGCAUGGUGGGGGUUGGAAAGUUUCGGCGGUUGGGGAUGGACUCGCGGCUUAUCAGCUUGUUGGUGGGGUAGUGGCUUACCAAGGAUUUGACGGGUAGCCGGCCUGAGAGGGUGACCGGCCACAUUGGGACUGAGAUACGGCCCAGACUCCUACGGGAGGCAGCAGUGGGGAAUAUUGCACAAUGGGCGGAAGCCUGAUGCAGCAACGCCGCGUGCGGGAUGACGGCCUUCGGGUUGUAAACCGCUUUCGCCUGUGACGAAGCGUGAGUGACGGUAAUGGGUAAAGAAGCACCGGCUAACUACGUG